GUUUUAGGGUUUCAAGAGCAGGUAAAUGCGACUUCAGGUUUGAGAGGUUUCGAUAUGAUUGCUGAAACUAAUUGGGCAGAGUGAAGAUUCAUUUCAAAUUUGGGGGAUAAUACAGAAAUAUUCUUAUCUACUUUUAGAGCGAUUGUUCGAGGAGAUGUCUGUUGUCCUAUGAGAUGGUGGAGAGCAUCCGAAGAACUCGAUCCCUUUUAUGUCGGUUUUGGGUUCAAAUUAUCACAGACGAAGAUUAUCUUGAGUUUGUGAAGCACCAUUCCUCAGGACAACUAGUUGUGAUAUACAUUACUAACGUCUCACAACAAGGGCAUACAUUAGAUAGCUAAGCUUCUGUUCCAAGUGGUGCAGCACAAGGCAACAAAGGUAAACAAUAACCUGCCGUUGAACAUGUUGAUGUGGGUGGUGAGGGUUUUGUAGAUGUGGAUGUGAAUUUAGAGACAGAUGAUGAUGGAAAUGUAUAUGGUUAUGAGGGUGAUGAAGAGAUUGUCAAUGAUGACUGGUUCGGUGAAGCUUUUGUAGUGCCAGUUGCUGAGCACAUACAUUGUGUCAGGCAUCAUGCAAACUUCAGGGCAUCUGGUCAUGAUAGUUUGGCUUUGAAACAGAGACUAUGAGCUGUAGCUAGAGCCACUAAAGUUCCGUGGUGGGAAGCAGAGAUGGAGAAGAUAAAGGAUUUGUCUGGAGAAGCUUACAAAUGGCUGGAAGAUAGGCCUGCAAGCCAUUGGAGCAGAUCACAUUUCAAAACUGGGCCAAAGUGUGGUAUGUUGCUCAAUAAUUUAUGUUAGUGUUUCAAUUAUGCUAUUUUAGAAGUUAUGGACAAACCAAUAUUGACAAUGCUAAAGAGAUUAAGAUGUUAUUUAAUGUUGAGAAUGGCAAGGCAAAGAGAAAUGCAGUGGACUCAGAAGGUUGGACCAAGGAUUGUAAAGAUAAUGGAAGAACCCUUGAAUGAGAGUGGGUCAU